rnacentral:lncRNA from 1 species
UGGUACUAGUAUGGUAGCAUAAUUAUAUAUAUAUAUAUAUAUAUAUAUAUAUAUAUAUGUUUCUACCUUUUCGAGCUUAAUUCGAGCGAGUGCAGUAAUACUCAAGUUCAACUGGAAAUUAAUUUCAAGCCUAAAUUUAGGCUCAAGCUCGGCUUGAAUUAAUUCGAGCUGAGCUCGAGCGAGCCGAAGAUCGAGCCGAGCGCGAGUCGAACACGAGCCGGCUCACUCAUUUGCCUGCCCUACCUUGAGGCGAUACGAGCUAGAGAGCCUGUUUUGGAGGAAAACAGAAGUACAUGGCUUCUAACUGUAAGCCCCUCCGUCUCCUCACUCCCACACUCGGAAACCAAACACCCCUUAGAGAAUCUGGUACUGGCAAGGCAACAUUGGAUGGUCUUCUGUUUUGUAGGCUACCGAGCUGCAGCCAUUAUUCCAGAAUUGGUGCGGCAAUAGCAGCGGGGGCGAUCAUUAUGUGGCCAUCAUUUAUAAUGAUGAUGAUCAUCAUCAUGAUCUUUAAAGGGGCUACGACUUCAUGUGAGGAUGCCUUCAUUGUCGACGGCAUCGGAUCAGCAUCUUCUUGCUCCCUUUCAUAUUUUUUGAUCCUGGCUGAAGUAAGAAGAGAACUUGGAUGAGUUCAAAGAGGAGAAAUUGAGACACCCAUUUCUCCCCAAUUUCUCCUCUCUCACCCUAACCACCCAUCAAUAGCCCAACUCUCUCUCUCUCUCUCUCUCUCUCUCUCUCUCUCUAUAUAUAUAUAUAUAUAUAUAUAUAUAUAUAGUUUGUGUUUGGGGAAUAAAAGGAAAAAAAACAGCAACCAUACCACCUGAGGCAUUAAGUUUUCAGCAGUAGGUGCAUGGCAUGGUAAUAUUGGAAGGCUUUGCUUCUUUGCAGGCAACCAUUUUUCCAUGUCAUGUCUUGACUUGCGGAAAUUAUUGAGAACAAACUUAUUGAAGCUUUCGAUAGGUCUCUUGCCACAUCAAUCACCACAACACUGGCACAUUACUGUUGCAUUAGUGAGACAUUCCUGUUCACUUAAAAUUCGCCUAUGAAACUUGAUUGUAACAAUCAAGAAAGUUUGAGUUAGAAAUUGCAGCUAUUAUAGUUUGAGGACUAAAAGUGUAAUUUAGCCUUAUUUUAUAAAACAAACGACUGGGCAGGCAAUAAUUUUCCUAUCUCGGCUACCUAUAACUGCACUCAAUUGGAAGGUCUGCUGUUUUGCAGGCAACCUUGUUUUGUCAGUUGUCUUUAAGUUGCAUAAGACUAUAUGAUGCUUUUUGAUAUGAUCGAAUGGCCGGUCGGAGCCUCUCUGUCCUUCUCCGUUCAUUUCAGUUAGUAAUAAUUCUCAUGCUGACUGUCGAUGUCGUCAUGCUGACUGUAUGCUUCAAUCAGACAGGCCCUUAAUGCUUCAUGCAAUGUUAAGGAAGCGUCUCUCCUUUAUUUUACGUUUCGAAGGAGGUUAUGAUAAUUGGCGGUUGGGAAGGCACCUCAACUUAUUUUUUUUUCUUGGCUUUUGAUUCUCAAUGGAGUGCAGAAGCUAUGGAUAUAAGAGGUAGUAUGGUCAACCCCAAAAACUGCACUUUUGCAAAAAAAAAAUUUCCCUUUCAUGAAUAACUGUUGAAACGGAUGGUCUGCACUUUUGCAGGCAACCUAGCAGUUGCAUGCUGUUUUUUGUGGUUUGCAUUUAUAAGCCGUUUCUUCAUGGCAUCAUUUGCCUAGCGAUCAAGCGGUGUCAAAUGCAUCAUAUAUUAGCCAUUAAAAUUGUUGAUUUCUGGACCACUCGAGUACUAGGCAAAUGAUAUCAAAGAAUUAUGAAGUUUGAAACCUAGAAAGUUGAAAUAUCCUACAUGUUUGAUUGUCUAUCCGGAUGCCCCGUUAUUAGAAAUGAUGCGGAAGUAAGCAGCGCAGUUUACUUGUAUAAGCAUUUUACACCCCCCCCCNNNNNNNNNNNNNCUCUCAACUUUCUAGGUUGAAAUAUAGAGAAAAAAGUUGGUGGUGGCACUGGCCUAUUGUGGAUCAGUAGGGUCUAGGAUUAAUUUCUUGAAGUAUUACCCCCACGGCCCCACCCACCCUCUCCAACCUUAAAAAAAAAAAAAAAAAACUCAAAAUGCAGUUUCUCGUGGAAACUUGCUCCUGCUCGGCGUGCUUAUCUUGAAAGGCUGGCUUAGAUGCAGGCAACCAAUAUUUGCAUCCAUGCAGGGGAUUUUAAUCCUCAGUUUGCCAUUUUGAAGCAACAAGUGUCGGAUGUACCUUAUCUGAAUGUACACGAUCUUUGAGGAAUGGCUAUGAUGACUGCCUGGAUGCACCAGAACUGAAGAAUUUGACUGAAACGUAGCUUGGCAAACUUUGGAAGGCUUGCAAUUCUGUGAGCAACCAUUAUGCAGCUGCUUGUGUAGUUCUGUGAAGAUUCUGGUGAAAAGGCCAGAUCUGAGCCACCUCCCUUCUCAACAUCAUCAUCCCUAAACUAUGAAAAGAUUGCUUGCACUUUAUCUUCUGUCACAAUUAUCUAACUGCUCGAGAAAGAUGGACUGUAGACAACCAUCCGCUUGUAGACAUCUUUGACUCUAUGGUAAACAAAUGCGACAUGUUUGUUGGGUAAAUGAAAGAAAUAUGUUGAACAAGAUUGCCAUGUGUCGAAGGAGACUCUUAUUUGCACUUUUGCUGUGCGUCAGAAAUGAUCUGUGGUGCUGUUUGAAGGUGCAUUCUUAUGUCUUUCCAUGUGGUGGGUGUGAUGAUUACCAAGUAUGGAAGAACCACAACCCUUCAACAUUAGACUACUUUGAUCUGCACAGCUUGGCAACUCUCGUACGGCUUGUUCAGCAAGCAUCCAUUUGCGUUUGUAUGUGUAGUUCGCAAAUGCUCAUAAAAAUGGGGUAAAAACGUACAGAACUUAUCUGAACUAUGGACUAUUUUGAGAAACACAGAUUGUAGACAACUAUCUACUCGUAGACACCUUAGACUCUAUGGUUAACAAUUGCGACAUCUUUGUUGGGUAAAUAAAAGAAAUGUGUUGAAUAAGAUGGUCGUGUGUCGCAAGAGGCUCUAAAUUUGUACUUUUGUUCCGCACCAGAAAUGGGUUGGGCUGCUGUUGAAAGAUGCAUUGUUAAUCUACGUGGUGGCUGUGAUGAUUGUCAUGUAUGGAUGCACCAAAUCACUACAAUAUUUGACUGAACUUUGAUCUGCACAGCUCGGCAACCUUUUAAAGGCUUGUUCUGCGAGCACCCAUUUUGCUUUAUAUGUGUAGGUUUGCAAAUGAUCAUAAAAAUUGCAGAUCUGAGCCAGUGUCUAAAUAUCUCCUUUUCGUUGUUUAGACCUAACAAUUUUUUUUUACCCCUAGCCUGUUCUUGUUUAAAGAAUUUAUGUUUGCUAAAUCACCUCUUGCAGCAAGCGGGUUAGGUGAUAUGAGGAAAAUUGUUCCUUUAUGUCAAUAUAUGUUUUUGAAGUUUAGUGGUGAUAAUUACACCACAGUUCGAGGGGUUUGGCAUUUUUUUGUCUUUAAAUAUGGCCUGCAGGAAGUGUAGUUUUUAACAGAGCAGUAGACCUGCCCGGCAGCAACAUUGGAUGGCCUGCUUAUAUGCUGGCAACCAAUUUUUGCUGCUGUGAGCUGGAGUUUAUACCCAGGUUCGUAUUAUUAGUGUUGAGCAUUGCGUUGUAACUUUUGUAGUCGUACCGAGCCGAAGAAUUGCUCUUUUGCAUUCCUCCUCGGUGAGUAAUUGAAAUCUCCACUAAAUGUGAACUUCAAAUCUCACUUCUUUUAAGUUUAUCCUCAAAGCGGUUUUCUGUAAAAAUAAACUGAACAUGGGACUUUGGCAAUGUUGGGGGAUCUCAUGGGAGUGACAUGGUCAAAUACGGUGGGAUUUUUGACGAAACCAUACCCGUAUCCAUGUUUUUUUCAUUUUUUGGUAUGCUAAUUCGGAUACGAUGGUGUCGGAUUCGAUUGGAUUUUAUCCUAACCACUUUCACCUCUACUUGUGGUACAUUUAUUCGGAGCCAAAAUACUCUGAACCCUCCAAUGAGGGAUGGAUGGACAGGUGGAUGGACGGGUACAUCGCUAAAGCGAUACGAAAGAGAGAAACCAGCAUUGGGAACAAGCGGAAAUGCAGGGGUGCUCCUUUCUUCCUGUAAGCCCCUCCGUCUCCUACUCUCUUCCACCCCAAAAAUGAAAAAAAAGAAAGAAAGAAAGUCAUUUGUCUCGUUUCCUGUCUCUUCCUCUCGUCAGGGAAAGUGUUUUUAGGUUAGACAGGGAAUCUGGUAAUGGCGGGGCAGUUCUGGACGGUCUGCUCUUCUGCAGGCUACUGAACUGCAGCCAUUACUCCGAAAAUGCAUUGGCGGCUAUCAUUUCCUCCUACUUCCUUGAUGCCUUGUUGUUGUUGUUGUUGUUGUUGUUGUUGUUGUUGUUGUCAUUAUUAUUAUUAUUAUUAUUAUUGUCAUUUUUAUAACUGUGGUGGUGGUGGGGGUGGGUGGAGUCUACCAUCUCCCUGCCCCUUCGUAAAAGGGGAAGCUUUCGUGUCUCGGGGUUGACCGAGCCCUGUGUGUGUGUGUGUGUGUGUGUGUGUGACUACUAUACUUCUAGAAGCAUAUACUUCCAACUUUUGGACCCUUGGAUCCCUCAGGUUUACUUCUUGUUGAUGGUAUUGGUAUGGAUCCAAGGGCCCAGAAGUUGGAAUUUGUAACUUCUAAAUGCAGCAUAGCUCAACUACACACACACACACUGUUCGUGUUUGAGGGUUGGAAAAAAAAAAAAACAAAAAAACAGCAAGAACAAUUCUAGAUGGGGCCUUAAGUUUCAGCAGAAGGUGCAUGGCAUUGUAAUCUUGGAACAUGGUUGUUUCAAACAUUCAUUAUCAACCCCCAAGGCCUGAUUUUAUCUUUAAUUUUUCAUCCUCUGGCUUUCUUACUGCAUGUACAAUCUAGGAUGGGUUGUUUCAAACAUUCAUUAUCAACCCCCUGAAACCCUUCCUCGUGCUGGUAGAUGAUGACUGGAUAGAAGUUUGGGGGGUCUAUUUCGAAAAUGGUCUAUAGUUGAGGGGAUCUUCAUCCUAUUUAACCUCUCAAUAUAUCUGAUGGUGAAAAGGUAUUGAUAGUCCCUGUCGUAUCCCGAUGCUAUUCCAAUAUUGUGACUUAGUCCUUGAACCUUUUCCAUAGCACUCCUCUCUCUCAUCUUUCUUAUAUUCUUGGAAUUUCAUCCCUCCCAUCUCUUUGGUUCAUACGUUGCAGGGAAAAUCUCUCAUUAGAACUCUGCAUUGUAAUUUAAUUACUAGCGAGGAUUGGCAGGCGCGUGAUCAGUAAUUGGAGGCAGCUCUGGAUGGUCUGCCCUUCUGCAGGCAACCUAGCUUGCAGCCAUUUAUCCGGUCAUGGCUGGGGUGGAGGAGGUGGUGGUAGUGAUAAGGAUUGGAUGUAUGUGGGUUCAUAUGAUCCUCUUCUCUGAUUAGGGUAUCAUCAUCGUUAUCUUCUUGGCACUCGCUUAUUCUCUUGAUCCAAGUUCCUGUAAAGGAUGUCCUUCAUCAUUUACUUCUAUUUCGCAAUUCCUGUUCCUUGAUGUGUUUCGGCAUUUGUGGAAGUUUCUGUUGAUCAUCUUCAAGAUAUGCGGAAUAACCACUUUUGUGUGGAGUAAAGCUUCUCUCUGCGGCCUUCUGAGAUGGAUACCCAUGAAAUUUUGUGCCUCAGGGUUGAUGAAUGGCUAAAAAUCAAGCUUUUUGAUUUUGAUUGUGCAUUCUUCAUAUGGGUUUACAUCAAGUUGGUCGGUUAGCUCGGUCCAUUGACACCUCUAAUCUGAGCCAUGCUUCAUUAAUUCCUCUAAUCUGAGCCAUGCUUCAUUAAUUCGUGGGAUGGAUGACAUUGCAGCUGGUGGUGCAUGUCUGAUCUUGUGCACCGGGUGCAGGUGUAAUGCCCCGGACUCGUCGCAACCCGCCAAUGACGAGAGCUUGCUGAGGCGUCGACGGCGACAGGGAUGAUGGUGGUUUCCGGCAGCAAUUCCGAGAUAAUUAAUGCAGGGAAAAAGGGGUAAGAGAAGAGAGAUAGAGAUAGAGUUAGAGAUACACAGAGAGAUGAGGAUGGGAAUUAGAAGUAGAUAAGAGAAGAGGAGAAUUGGGGGUAGUAGAGAAGAAGAGGAAGUUUGGGGAGAAGAAAAUAUCAAUUCAUUUCAUUCAUAAUCUGUUUACCGCGCUAAUUUGGUAUAUAUACUAUCUACUAACUCAUAUUGGAAUGUAAAAACAACUAUGUUAAGAGGGCUAUAGUGCAAAAGUGGUAAAUAGAGGUAUGGUCGGUGGGCUGCAAUUCAGCGGGCAAUUGGGCCUCAAUUGGGGUUGUUUGGUCCAAACUGCCUGGUAGUCGGGCAAACAGGUCGCAAUUCGCCCCUUCUCCGCACUAUCCAUCGCCCGGCGGAUCUUGGGUCCGCCUUUUCCCCCGAUCCGGGAUUUGGGGCCGCCCAAUCCACUCGUAAACGGACAACCGGGUCUCAGUUUGCCUUCUCCGCACUACCCACCGCCCCCUCAGCUCCGACGAUGCCCUAGCCCCGUCGCCCUGCCGGAGUUCCACCCGCACAGCCUCUCGCUGGAUCGCACCGCCGAGCUCGCUCCUCUCUACCCUGCUGUUGCCCUUAUUCCUCGCAUAACUAGUAAAGCUACCACUUUUACUACUCCUUUUAACUACUCUACUCCUUUAUUCUUCAGGUUGUUACGGCAGGCCGUAAUUUCUCCUAUCUUCUGCGUUUUGGGGUUUGAAUGCUCAAUUGGAAGGUCUGCAUUCUUGCAGGCAACCUGACAAACUCAUUUGUCUUUAAGGUGCGUAAGACUACAUGAUGCCUCAUGAUAUGAUUGAAUGGCAGAUCUGAGCCUCCCUUUUCUUCUUUGUUUCUUUUCAGCUAUUAAGAUCUAUUCUAGUAUUUCUUCUUCUCUGUAUUUGCUUCUGCAGGGAGAAGCUAGAUCAUCAAUUCCUAUUCCCUCUACUUUUCGGUGGCUUUGGCCUAUUUCAAGAUGGUCUGUAGUUGAGGGGUCUUCAUACAUGUAUCUCACACGCACUGUGGAAAUGUUUAAUUCAGGUAGCAGCAUGCAGUGCGAGGGUACAACCCAAAGCUUAACAAGAACAGAAAACAGAUGCAACGGCAAUUAAGCACUCAAUUUUACUGAUGGUUGCUAAGCGGCUAAAACAUCAAUGUCAUCUGUUACACUACAUAUAAUGAAAACAUGGAGUUUGUGGGGCAUUCAGGGUGAGGGUUGAUUUAAGCCUGAUUUUUCUCUUCCUCCCUUUCUCUCUCAUUUUUAUUUUUUUCAACUCAAUUCUCAUCUCCCUCUCUCUCUUUCUUUCAUCAAUUUCUUUCUCAUCUUUUACUGCACAAUCUAUUUUUAAGUAAUAAAUAUUAUAAAAUAAAAUAAAAGUUUUAUUAAAUAUAUAUGAUUUAAAUUAUAUAGAAAAGCUAUACGUGAAAAAUUACAAAAUUUGAACUUUUAUCUGAAAAUUUAGAAAAUGCAAUAGAUAAAUUUAGUUUUUUUAUCCAAUUUAUAAAAUAUUUCUCUUUCACUGUUCUAUCUUCUUCUUUUCAAUUACCAGCAACCGAUCUAUCUAUCGGUGCAUUGCAUAUACUAAACUUAUUUUUUAAAAAAUAAAAAUCACAAGAUUAAAAUGUAAUUCGACAAAUGCACUCUACACUAUAUAAAAAGUCUAUUUAAAAAAUUUAUACUGUUUUAAUUUUUAUAAUAGAGUUUUAAAAAUUUGGUGUGUAAGAUAUAUUUAUGCAUUUAAUGUGCCAAACAAUUUCUGGCUCGUCGCCGUCACAUCCUGUCGAGGGAACAAGAAAUCGGCAGAUCGUGGAGUUUGCCUACUUUCUCUCUCUCUUUUUUCGUGGAGUUUGCCUACUUUCUCUCUCCUCUUUCUCUCUUCUUUUCGUAAAAUGAUGAGGCAGCAAAUGUAUCUUUUGCUCUAUUAAUAUAAUCAAUUUUCUUCUUUUGCUCUAUUAAUAUAAUCAUUUUUCUUCUUUUGCUGUUGUUAUUUUUUUGUUUCGUCUUUUUCCUUCUAAUAACUUCGUUAUUAUUGUUGUUCUAGCUGGUUCUUCUUUAGCUUCUUUUUUUUUUAUUUUGUUAUAUUUUUACUGCCACUAUAAAUAUAUUUAUUAUUCUUAUGUUUCUGUUUUUAUUCUCCUGUUGCUGCUGCUGCUGCUUCUUCAACUUUUACUUUUUUCUAAUUCUUUAGUUUCUUUAAAUUCUUUUUAUGUUCUUACUGUCCUUUUUGCCUUCAGCUUUUUUCUUAUUUAUUUGUCUCUACAGAGCCGACUUUGCCGCAACGUGCCAGUAACUUCACUAGUUUUACAAGACCAGCUACUCUACUACAGACCGUAACCCAAGAACAACUUUUAUAACUUGAACUCUCUAUAUUACUCUUCAGAUUUGCCUAGAAUUCAACUCUUUAAGAGCAGACAACUUAGCAUGCCAUCAAAAUAUCUAGUUUAAUGAUCUGCCAAUUGUCGAUGUCAUAGAUUUCUUUGCAUAAACACAUGCUUAAUCUGAAAGCCAUAACUGAAUCAAACGAUUUAGUAAUCCAUCAUUCCCAAUUUAAAGAACCCAAAGCUGAUAAAUCUGGUGGAUUAGAAUGGAUUGUCAAACAUCGCCUUCAAAUAAUUAGCUGCAGUAGUUAGGAAAUGGGCGAUAAGAUUGGCAAAGCACAAAACAAACAGCGAGCGAUUUUGUAUCAACUAAACUCCUCUAAAGCUGAUCUAAAUACUAUGUCCAGAUGAUACAAUUUGGAACUCAGAAUAUGGCGUGUAAAAACAGUUUUCCUAAGGUAAUAAGGUUAAUAUGUCUGAAUUCCUCACUUAACAACUCGGAACUAACUAAUUUCUUAGAAUUUAGACCAUGCGCAUUUCAAUUUCCACAACUUGGACCAUUUUAUUGUGAAGGCGAACAUGUUUGCUCCACAUUAAUUUUCAGUUGUGUGGUAGAGAUCUCAGUUGGAAAGUGCAUCUAUAAAAAGAUGGCACAGAGAGACAUUACUUUGGUAGGCCAACUAAAUCUGCUUAACUGAAAAUUUGGAGGGCAAGUAAAUCUACCAACUUAUUCUUUCUAAUUCAAAGUACAAUUCAGACAUGAGAUCUCUUGUUUCUUGCAACAGCUAGAGCCUAUUUUUGUCAAAUACAAAACUGCAGUACCGUUUGGCCCCAAUACCUCUUUCAAUUGCCAAAAAUCAACAAAGAUUAACACUGUAAGUCACAAAAUUGUGAGAUUACCUCAAACUUUGCAUUCGGUUCCGAACGCCAUUCUAUUAGCGGCAAAGCAUCAAUGGUAAAGCAGCAACCAGGAGAAGAACAAAAAUAUAAAUGACACCUUGAGAUUCUAGAAUUCGCAAACCAUGUACCUUGAAAUUAAACUGAACCAAAAGCAACUCCAUCUACGAGAAAUAAACCUUCACGUACGGAUCGGAAUAGCAAUUCCAACUGUUUGUUUAGCAUGACCAUUUUCUCUAUCGCAAGAAGCAAACAACAGCAUUCGAAACAGGAAAAGCCCUCGGCUCUUUCUAUGGCAGCAAAUUGAAAUAAAAUUUCAUUGACUUGUCUGUCUCCAAAGAACUAAGUAGGAUUUAUUUCUCACAAAUAUAAAGGCCAACAAGCAAACACAACAUAUUGUUAUAUUUCAACUGCCUUCCAGACAAAUACCAAUAAGAAAUUAGCAUAAGCCAAUACCACUUAGAAUAUAAGGGCAACAUAUUUGCCUAAGCUAUGUGUUUUACACUGCAAAGUUUUGUAUCUCACACCGAACCCUACAAGUAGAUAAAUUUGACUCUUCACGAGAGCACCGACAAACUCCCAUAUUUAGGAAAAGUAGCAUCUUUUAUUUGUUAAAGCAAAGAUAAUAAGAUAAAAUGACACAAUAUAACUUGUUAAAGCCUCCAAAGUACUAACACCAAUAACUAAGAACUUAAAAUAAAGAAAAACCAGCAAUCGAAAAAAAAAAAAAAUUUACCACCAUUAUUCACGACCAAACAGCACCUGAAUGGGGAAGGCCUGGUGUAGAGCAUGACAUUCCGCCUGCAAAGCAAAUAAGGAAACAUCUAGUUAUGUUAUUGCAAAAAGACAGAAAAUUUAAACAAACAAGUAUUGCUAAUUAUAUUUCAUUGAUUAGCAUAAUCAUAUAAAGAUAACAUAGAGCAUGUUAUCCAACACUUUAUUACGAAUACUAUCAGGAAGCAUCAGAAACUAUUAUGCAACAAUUGAUUUGCAGGAAAUAAUUAGCAUCUCUUUCUGAAUCUUGUGAGAAUCAGUAAAAGAUAUAGUCCUCCUAACAAUUCAAAAGCCUCAUCCAAAUUCCUAAUUUUACAAGUCCAAGAAAUUACCAAUUUGGACAAAUAUAUAGCUAGCUAAUUGUGGUAGCUGAAAUUUUUUUCAUAAAAAAAAAUUAACACAAUGAGGAAAAAAUAGAAACUUAACAUAAAACAAAGUUGAACAUUGAUGUAACUAAGCAUUGGAAGUAGAAAUACAAGACGAACAGAAUAAAUAAUUUUAGCAUAGGAAACCUCAUUCUCCCUUUCUACAACAUAUCGCAUGUCACAUCGUUACAAAUAUCGAAUUAAAUAACAAAUGCUCUGAUUAAUUUAAAUACUAUAUACACAAACUAUAACCUAACUAUACAAACAAAUAAAUAAAAAUGUACCUCUACUAACUCGCAGUGGGCUUGAGUCUACAAAGAGCAACUCUAAUGUUACGUUGCACCCCAUAAAACACCUUCGCCUGGAAGAUUUUCGGCUCAGCUUCACCGUCAACUGCUUGGAAGGUAACAUAGUACCAAAGUCCUGCUGCGACACUACACGUUGCCUUCUCUAUUUUUACAAACACAUAACUCAUAUCCUACAUUAUGAAAAACAUCAUGAAAUCAAUUUUAUCAAAAAAAAAAAGAAACAAAGAAAAAAAAAAGAAGGAAAAGACAUACACAAGGCAACAUGAACAUACAUUUUCCUUAUUAAAAUGUUCGAUUGCCAAUUUAGUACAUCUGAUAAGAAUUUCAUCAUCAAAAUCCGUGAUCGCCGUAAGGCCAAACUCACAGGUGCCUGGAAAUGGAUCAACAUCGAAUCCCUGUAAAAGACAUGUAUUAACAAUUAGUGAAAAAAAAAAGUUGUGAAGCUUUAACUCUCAAAAAGAAGAUAAUAAUUAUUAAACACCUCGCUUUCCUUGAUUUGUUUGUAAUAUCUAGCCCAUUCUUCGUGAGUCCUACUGCGAUUACCAUUCGGCCAAACGUAAACCUCAUCUUCCUCUGAAGUAUGCUCAUAAACCCUUUGAUCCUUCUCGUUCCCUUUCUCUUCCUCUAUUUCACUUUGGGUAUCUUCCUCCUUGCCCUCUUCCCUCAUCUCUUCGCUUUCUUCCUGCAGUUUCAACUUCUUCUGCAGCGGCCCUUCAGGUAUCAGGUUCUUGGAAUUCUGCCUGUAUCACAAAAUGAAAUAUAUCUAUCAUAAAAAAUUUAAACAAAUUUCAAUCAAAACUAACGACAAUUUAAAAAAAAAAAAUCUUAAAUUGGCUCAAAUAAAAGAAGAAUUUAGCCGAUGCAUACGAAAUAGAGACCAAACAGGGCAUAAUUCAGGUGAUACAUUCCUAGAUUAGGAUUUUCUAAUUACAAAAUAAUAUAUUAUUAUUUUAAAAUAUUUCAGUUGUUUCCAAUAAAGUGUAAUUAGGGUUAGGUUAUAUAAAUGUGUAUUUUUUAUGAUUUGGAGAAUAAGAAGAAAUUGGCCGUGUUGUUCUAUCUUCCCUCUUGUUCUCUUCCCCCUUAUCUAUCUUUAUCUCUCUAAUAUCUCUCUCUUCAGGAGGUUCGAUUCCCUCAAAGUGAUUGUUUAUCUCCGUCGAUACGGUAGAAUCUUGUUCUAUCUCCCCUCCCGUUCUCUUCCCCCUUAUCAAUCUUUAUCUCUCUAAUAUCUUUCUCUAGGAGGUUCGAUUCUCUCAAAGUAAUCGUUUAUCCUUACCGAUACGGUAGAACCGUAUCAUCAGGCCAAAUUUCGUAAAUAAUUUUUUUGAAGGAAUAUUUUUACAAUUAUAAUAUGAUAUAAGUCUACUAAUAAUCCAUCAUAAUCAGAAUAAUCAAAUGCAUAUCAAACGUCACAAACAAACGGCAUUCUAAUCAUUUAUUACAAUCCUAAAUUAAUCAGAGAGCCAAACACAUAUCAAAAUCGCACAUGAAAAAAAAAAAAAAAAAAAAGAAAGCACAUUCUAACACGUGUGUACGGAAUAUGGUAACGAACGAGAUGUAUACCUUUGUCAGGUGAAGACAAUUGUAAUGCCUUGAAGAAUAAAUAGUUUAAUAGUUAGCAGGGGAAGGAAAUAAAAAUGUUAACUUUACAAUCGUAAGACCAGAAAUAAGGGCAACAGCAGCAGGGUGGAGAGGCGAAGAGAUCGGGCGGAAGUAGUAGGCGGAUCGGGCGGUCGGAUUACCGGAUCGGGCGUAAAACGCGGACCCAAGCCCCGCCGGGUUGCGGGUGAUGCGGAGAAUGUAGGAACCGACGCCCACUUACCGUUAUGCAUGGGUCGGGCGAACCGGAGCUCGGAUCGGGGCGAAAUGGCGAACCCAAGACCUGCAGGGUUGCGGGUAGUGCGGAGAAGUUCGGACCCGAGUCCGUUUGCCCGACAACCAGCAGAAGAGAUCAGAAAGCCCGGGAAAGGGCCCAACUAUUAUGAGAUGGCAGCCCACACGAGUUUUUCCUCAAUUUGUCACUUUUGCUGUUUAGCCCUCAUAGACUAGGUGCGUUUUCAGUUUAGUCCAAAUUACCAAGUACUAUAAAUACCAAAGUAUAACGUAAAUAGGGUAUCAAUAAAAUGAAAUAUUGAAUCUGCUUCUUCCCCAAACUCUCUUCUCCUCUAAACUCUUUUUUCCCAACUCUUAUCUCUUUUCUACCUCUCAUCCACAUCAUAUCUAAACUCUAUGUAUUACGAAAAAAAUAUAAAUAUUAAAAAAAGAAAAUACAAAAAAUAUAAGGACGGAACAUAGUGAAUGGACCAUUCACCGUAAUUGAACACGAUGAAUGGUUUACCGUGUCUAAGAAAAAUAUAUCAUUUACCGUGUUUGAAUGCGAUGAAUGAUUCAUGGUAUUCAACUUAUCAACCCUCUAGCUUUUACAAAAAUAAUUUAUAAAAUUUAAAUUUUAUAAAAAUAUAUUUGUUUUUUAUAAUCGGAACGACGAAAAAUAGAUCCAGAAAAUAAUUUAAUACAGAAAAAGAAAAGAUAAGAAAAGAGUACGCCGAUAUUUACGUGGUUCGGCCAACGGCCUACGUCCACGAAAGAAGACGGAGCAAAUACUUUAUUAAUGUCGAAAAAAGCGGAAUACAAAGAAGAUCUCUCAAAAAAUAAUCAAAGCUUAAUUAGAUCGAAACGCCGCAACAAGCAACUCCAAAAUUGGCUUCUCUCUCACCCGUACGACGUAUGGCUAAAUUAAAGUAGCCACGGAUCCUUGACCGUACGAAACGUGGAUAGAUUGGCUUAAUUAGAGUAUGGCUUAUAAUUAGCGGCAGCUCCUGACUGUACGGACCACACGAUCGACAUGGAUUUCUUAAUUAGAGCCCGGCAGCUCGGAAUAAUUAGCACAUGGCAUCUAAUUUUGGUCGCGGCAUCAUUAUAUAUAUAUAUAUAUAUAUAUAUAUUAUAAUUAGAGUCUAAUUCUAAUUAGAUUAGAAUUACAUUCCUAAUUAUAAUUUAUAAAAUAUAUAUGUCAAAUUAAAUUUAAAUUAUAUCUAAUUUUAAAUAAAUUAGAAUUUAACUCUAAAUUAGAUAACUACAAAUCUAAACCAAAUAUAAAAAUAAUUUACUAUAUUUUGGUAACCUGUAUGUAAUUAACCUAAAAAUUUUCGUCUUAUAAUAAGUGGAGGAGGCCAUCAGUAAUUGAAAUUUUCGUCUUAUAAGUGAAGGAGGAGUUGGCGUUUUCUAGACUCUUUCGUGUCUUCGGGAUGUACAAGGCGUGCUCCUUUUCUUGCUAUGACGAACUCCCACAUCACCAAAGAGAGGGGAAAAAAAAAAAAUGGAGGGAGAAAACACAUUUCUCUCUCCUUUGAUCCUUUCCCGGAAACCAAACAUCGCAUUACAGAAUCUGGCAAUGGCGGGGCAUCGCGCUGGAUGGUCUGCUCUUCUUCCGCGGGCUACCAAGCUGCAGCCAUUAAUCCAGACGCGAUGCUGCUGCAGCGACGGCGACGAGGACGACGACGGUCAUUCCUAAUGAUGAUGAUGAUGAUGACGGUGACGAUGAUGAUCUUUAAUGGGGUUUGGGCUUCAUCCGAAGAUGCAUCCUCCGAUGUCAAUGGCAUCGGAUCGUCGUCUUCUUGAUACCUCUCAUGUUUCUUGAUCCUCUCUGAAGUAACUAUCAUCAUUUUUUCUUUUUCUUUUUAUUCUACUUCUCCAUUUCUCUUCUUGAUGCCUCCUCUUCCUCCUCCUUGUUGUUGUUACUGUUACUGUGUUCGUGUUGGUGUUGGUGUUGGUGGUGGUGGUGGUGGGGGUGGGUGGAGCCUACCGUCUCCCCGCCCUAUCCUGAAAGGUUUCAGGAAAACCCACAAAACUUCGCCUUUCGGGGUAAAGAUGUAUAAAACUUUCCGCAACUAUCAUCCUUUUCGAUCUGACUACCUAACAGUUAAAAGUUUGGAUUUUACUACCCGUUCUUUCAAUUUAUUUGAUUUAAGCCGAUUAGUAAGCAACUAUGAAUUAAUUAAAGUAAGCAAUUAGUUUAAAUUUUGAAGUCCGAUUAUCGUUGACUGACUCAAAUCGAACAAAUUGGAAGGUUCGGUGGUAAAAUCAAAAUUUUGGAAGGUUGGGUGGUCGACUCAAAAUGAGGCAUUUAGGAUUUCGCAGUUGGUGCUUGGCAUGGUCAUGGUAAUCUUGGAAGGCUCUGCUCUUCUGCAGGCAACCACUUUUCCAUGCGAUGUCUUGUGGUGUAUUGCAAUACUGUGUUUCGUACCAAUUUUUCUGUGCGGGUGUUUUGGAGCGGAAAUUGGAAAUCAUGGUAGAUCCGACUGGAAACCGUUGGGUUUGCUUAGACUUGCUGAAAUCACUUCAAACCGGUGGAAAUCAAUUCAAACCACACCUGCUAAUGUUUCCAAGGAUUUACAUGUUCUUGGUUGCAAUUUCAUCCAAAUCAGUGAUUUGGAGGAUCCGAAACUGGGUGCAAAGGAGGCUGUGAUGGUUGCCAACCUGGGUGCUAAUGCUUUGUCCAAGCCAUUUCUUCUUUACCCAGUGUAUACAGCGAAAACAGCUCUUUUAAUAUCAUUUCUUCUUCGGCAAAUUGGAUGGUCUGCUAAUUUAGCAGGCAACCUUAUGCUAGCAUCCAUUGUUAUGGUGCAUGGAUUUUAUGAUGCUUUCUGAGUAAGGCCGGGGAAAUGGUUGUGAACAAACAAAUUGAGGCUUUCGGUGGGUCUCUUGCUGUGUCAUCAACCAUAAUAUUGAUUAGCGACAUAUUGCCGUUCACUCAACUUAAUUGGCUUGUGAGACUUGAUAGCAACAAUCAAGAAAGUUCGAGUCGAAAUUGCAACAAUUAUAUUUUGAGGACUAAAGUGUUACCUGCCUCAUUGUUUGAGGACCAAAAGUGUAAUUUAGCCUUAUUUUAUCUAACAAACCACUGAGCAGGUAAGAAUUUUCUUGCUAAAUUGCAUGUUUGGUCCUCAAACAAUGUGUAACACUUUGGUUCUCAAACUUUAAUCUGUUACAAUCUAGCCUGAACUUUUUGAAUUGUCGCAAUCAUGUCCUGCAAUCCAAUUUAGAUGACUAAAUAUUGAUGCAUCAUUGAUGUAAUAGUGAUGUGACAUUUUAUUUUUUGUCGCAUCAUCAAUUACCAUACUGCUACCGUCACUUUCACAUUACCGACAUAUCAAUAUUUAGUCAACUAAAUUAGAUUAUAGGACUUGAUUGCAACAAUUCGAUUCAGAAAUUACAAUAAAUUAAUGUUUGGUCCUUGUCAUGCGUCUCAAAGUUUGAGGGCAAAAUGUGCAAUUUACCCUAAUUUUCCUCAUCUCAGUGGCAGCUCUCAAUUGGAAGGUCUGCUGUUUUGCAGGCAACCUUGUUCUGUCAUUUGUCUUCAAGGUGCAUAAGAAUAAGACUAUCAUGAUGCUUGUUGAUAUGAUCAAAUGGCAUGUUGGACCCUCUCUUUCCUUUUGCUUGAAACAUUACUUCUACUUUCUUUUCAGCUUUUAAUAUUUCUCAUGUCGACUGUCCGUGUGUCCUCAUGCUGACUGUAUGCUUCAAUCAGACAGGCCCUUAAUGUUUUAUGCAAUGUUAAGUUUUUUUUUUCCCUUCAUUUUACUUGUCAAAGGAGGCUGUGAUGAUUGUCGGUUGGGAAUGCACCUCAACUUAUUUUAUCCCGGCUUUUGCUUCUCGGCGGAGUACAGAAGCUGAUAAGGAUAAUGGAUAUAAGAGGCAAUAUAGUCAACUCAAACCUAAGAUCUUGGUUGGGUUUUGACAAGUCGUGUGGGAUUUGAAUCUGGUUUGUUGGCUUGCUUUGUCCUUUUACAACCCUUGGAAGCCUUUCACUUCGUUCAUUUGUGGGAUAGACAGCAUCUCAGUGGGUGGUUUUUGGCUGACAUAAUGCACCAGGUACAGGCAAUAAUUUUUCCUUUCUGGGCAGCUCGUGAGGCCAACAAUACACCCCUCUAGCAGUACUUAAUUGGAAUGCCUUGCAGGCAAGCCUAUGCUGUCACGUCUUUAAGGUGCAUGAGAUUACAAGAUCCCUCAUGUGGUGAUUAAGCCUCCAUUUUAUUUUCCUACUUCCUUUUUAGCUAUUGAGAUUUGGUUGUUCACGUUUUUUUUUUCCCUCUCGCUUUCUUACUGCAUAUAGAAGCUAGGAUGGGUUGUUUUAAAUAUUCCUUACAACCCGUUGAAACACGACUUCAUGCUGGUUGAUGGUAAAUUUUCUAUCCUAUAUGUAUUCAGACCUGUGGCAACUUGUUAAUUUUUCGGAUUUUGAUAAGAACUAAAUAUAAGAAAGAUUUGGAUGCUAGGUAUAUAAAUAUUUGGGUUAAUUUCUUCAAUACCCUCCUUAAAGGUUGUAAUUUCAUAAAGACUCCUUCAAAUUGUAAAGGGUUUAGGGUUUAUGCAUUAUUGCAUGCAUACAUCUCUCUCCCCCCCCCUUUGUAAUCUGGUUCUUGUAAAUUUGCAUCUGAUCGACAUCAAGUUUCUAUAUUUAUUGGGUUUCUUUGCAUUUUAAAGUUAUACAAAAUUGUUGCAGGGCAUGCGAUCAAAACGGUUGCUCAAUCAAUAGCUUCACUUGAGCCCUAUUAUAUUAUUUGAUAAAGUUUUGGGAUUUAUUUGUUAAAAAGUAGAAGUUUUAGCACCUGUUUGCAAAAGUGUUAGAGUUUGGGGGGGGCUUAGAACAUUGUUUCAAUUAUUAAUGUCUACUAAAAAAAUGCAUGUUGGGCGAAAACGUUGCAUCCUUUUGGGCUAUUUAGGGAGGCAAAAUACUGUGAGCCCUCCAAGGACGGAUGUGUGGGUAUGCCUUUGAGGCGUUACGAGCUAGAGAGCCUAUGUUUGGGGAAAAACAGUAAGUACUGGGCGUGCUACCUUCUUGCUGUAAGCUCCUCUGUCUCUUCACUCCCACACUGAGAAACCAAUCACCCCCUUAGAGAAUCUGGUAUUGGCAGGGCAGCAUUGGAUGGUCUGCUGUUUGUAGGCUACUGAGCUGCAGCCAUUAUUCCAGAAUUGGUUCGUCAACGACGGCGGUGGCGAUCAUUAUGUGGCCAUCAUUUAUAAUGAUGAUGAUUAUCAUCAUCAUCUUUAAAGGGGCUUCGACUUCAUGUGAGGAUGCCUCCAUUUUCGUCGGCAUUGGAUCAUCAUCUUCUUGACAGCUCUCAUAUAUUUUGAUCCUGGCUGAAGUAACUAUCAUCGUUUUUCUUGUACUUAUCCAUUUCUUUUCUUGAUGCCAUUUUGUUGUUAUUGUUAUUAUUAUUAUUGUUGUUGUUAUUGUCAUAGUGGUGGUAUGGAGUUGACCAAGCCUUCAUAUAUAUAGGCUAGGGCUACUAUCCUAUUAAUAGGAUAGUAGCACUUGUCCUAUCAAAUUGUUCUUGAUGAUAGAGAUUCCGAAUCGAUGAUCGGAACCGUUGAAGUUGAUCUAGAGUACUUGAAAUAUCUAGAAACUAAAUUUAAUAAAUUUUAAAAAUUAUUUACAUGGUGAUCAAACUAUCAAAGUGUCGAAAAAUCGACAAUUUUUGACGGCCUAUAUGAGCCGUUUGCUUGUUUAACGGUGUAGAGCAAUCCAAAUUACUUGAAUUUUUGAUAAAAAAAUUUUUAUACUAUUUAGAUAAUGUUUGAUAACUCUGAUUAUGAAUUGAGAAAAUCUAACCUCUAUUUUAAGAAGGUUAUUCAUUUAUGACCGUUCAUUUUUUAACUCUUAAGAUGAACAUGAUAAUGAUUUUUAAAUAUUACAAAAUUUGGUUUCUAAACAUUUCUGAUUGUGUAGAUCAAUUUCAACGGUGCCGAUUAUCAAUUUGAAGUUCCGAUCAUUCAAAACGACUUGAUAGGACAAUAGCUCCAAUCCUAUUAAUAGGAUAGUAGCUGGACUCUCUCUCUCUCUCUCUCUAUAAGUUAUUAUAUAUAUAUAUAUAUAUAUAUAGAGCUAGGCUGGUAUACUAUUGGUAGCACGGAGGCCACCGUGCUACCAAGUUGUUUUCAAUGAUGUGGCUUCCAAAUCGACGAUCGGCUCCGUUAGACUUCUACACUAUUGAAAGUAUUUGGAAGCUAAAUUUCAUAAUUUUUCGGUAUCAUUUGCCUAGCAAACGAGUACUCUAAAAAUGAACGGCUGAAAAUAAAAAUCUCAUAAUAUUGGAAGGCUAUGGUGCUUUUAAAAGCACCAAGCACUUGGUCCUUGUAAGUUUCCUAUUGUUAGAUUUAUCUCUUUGACCAAUUCCAUCCCUAAGAUUAUGCUAUUCCACCAACCACCUGCUCAACUCUCGGGGACCACUAUUAUCCUAACCUACAAAUCUUCAUCCAAGACCGAAAACCUACAAGCACCAAUGACUUGGCACUUUUAAAAGCAUAGGAGCUCAAUUCUGUCUAUCUAUCUAUGUAUACAUAUAUGUAUAUAUACAGUUUGUGUGUGGGGAAUAUAAGGGGGAAAAAAACAGCAAUCAUACCACAUGAGGCAUAAAGUUUUCAGCGGUAGGUGCAUGGCAUGGUAAUAUUGGAAGGCCUUGCUUCUCUGCAGACAACUAUUUUUCCUUGAUGUCUUGCUUAGACUUGCUGAAAUUAUUGAGAACUAACUUAUUAAAGCUUUC